GCGAACGCUGGCGGCAUGGCUAAAACAUGCAAGUCGAACGCGAAAGGGGACUUCGGUCCCCGAUUAGAGUGGCGAACGGGCGAGUAAUGCGUUUCUAACGUGCCCCGAGGUCAGGGAUAGCCCAGGGAAACUUGGAUUAAUACCUGAUGAUCCCCCGAUGUCGUAUGGCGAUGGGGGCAAAGGCUUGCUGCCUUGGGAUCGGGAAACGUCCUAUCAGGUUGUUGGUGAGGUAACGGCUCACCAAGCCAAAGACGGGUAGCGGGUGUGAGAGCACGGCCCGCCGCAUCGGGACUGAGACACUGCCCGGACUCCUACGGGAGGCUGCAGUAACGAAUAUUCCGCAAUGCGCGCAAGCGUGACGGAGCAAUGCCGCGUGUGGGAUGAAGCCCUUCGGGGUGUAAACCACUGUCAGGGGUUAGAAAGAUCUGAUCAGCCCCAAAGGAAGAGCCGGCUAACUCUGUG
rnacentral:rRNA from 1 species